AGUGAACGCUGGCGGUAGGCCUAACACAUGCAAGUCGAACGGCAGCACAGUAAGAGCUUGCUCUUACGGGUGGCGAGUGGCGGACGGGUGAGGAAUACAUCGGAAUCUACUUUUUCGUGGGGGAUAACGUAGGGAAACUUACGCUAAUACCGCAUACGACCUACGGGCGAAAGCAGGGGAUAUUCGGACCUUGCGCGAUUGAAUGAGCCGAUGUCGGAUUAGCUAGUUGGCGGGGUAAAGGCCCACCAAGGCGACGAUCCGUAGCUGGUCUGAGAGGAUGAUCAGCCACACUGGAACUGAGACACGGUCCAGACUCCUACGGGAGGCAGCAGUGGGGAAUAUUUGACAAUGGGCGCAAGCCUGAUCCAGCCAUACCGCGUGAGUGACGAAGGCCUUCGGGUUGUAAAGCCCUUUUAUUGGGAAAGAAAAACCGCGGAUUAAUACCCCGCUGUUCUGACGGUACCCAAUGAAUAAGCACCGGCUAACUUCGUG
rnacentral:rRNA from 1 species